UCUACAAAAACCUCAAAGGUUGCACGAAACAACCGCGAAUGACAUCACUCAUCGCCUCGGCUCAUCGUGCAGUCGUGGAUUCGCAAAUAAUCCAGCAGAUUCCCGCCGCUUUCUCCAAAAUGCCAGGGGAGAUGGUCGUUUUGAGGUGCACAGUACAAGGCACCAGCAACCCUUACAUGUACUGGUACAGACAACGUCCAGGGAAGGAGCCGCAGUUCAUGUUUUACUCCACAGGUCGCAGUAUCGUAACUCCAGGCGAAACGGUAGACGGUUUCAAGGCCGAUCGACCGAGUAACACCGAGUUUAAUCUGAAAUCCCCCACCCUCCUCGUCAAUCAUUCGGCUGUAUAUUUCUGCGCCUGGAGUCUUCACAGUGAGUCAGAGAGAGGGAGCAGCUCAACAAAAACCCCAAACAGCAGCUGGAAGCAAAGAUGUUUCCUCUCACCGCAGACCUUUGACAUUAAGAGAUCAGUUCCAAUGAAAGUAGAUAAUGAAAUUGAGUAGCGCUGGAGAAAUUGCAAACAAAAGUGAACAAUUCUGAGAAGAUUUAACUUUCAGGGAAACUGAAUAUGUCUCAGAUCUGGAGACGUUAUACUAGACUCGAAGCAUCAACCCUCCCCCUUUCUCCCCACAGACGUUGCCGAAUUUCUCUAGCAUUCUAUGCUUUUUCAGAUUUCCAACAUCCCCUCAGUAUUUUGAUUUUAUUGGGUGAACAUAUCGGCCUCGUUGAGAAAUUCGUUUUCCUGCAAAAUGAAUAUCAUGUAAAAGUGGAGAGCUGUAUUGUAGCGCCAUGGUGAGACCAGGUCUGGAGUACUGAUUGCAGUCUUUUCCUUAGUUGAAAAAAGGUGAGGUGGAACAGAAAUGCACCUGGAAUGUACUGGUACAGACAAUCCCUCAGAAAUGAGCUACAGAUUGUACUUUACUCUGAUGCUGCACACCAUUUCAAUCCAAAGGAAGAGCAUAAGCGGUUUCUCUGUCAAGCAACUGAGUGACUCUGAGUUCAAACAGAUGUCCCCCAC